CACCGCCCGUCACAUCACGAAAGUGGGUUGUACUAGAAGUCUGCGUGCUAACCGCAAGGGGGCAGCGGCCCAAGGUAUGACUCAUGAUUGGGGUG
rnacentral:rRNA from 1 species